CCGAGUUUACAACUCCCAAACCCAAUGUGAACGUUACCAAACUGUUGCCUCGGCGGGAACUCAUGCCCCGGGUGCGUCGCAGCCCCGGACCAAGGCGCCCGCCGGAGGACCAACCAAAACUCUUUUUGUAUACCCCCUCGCGGGUUUUUUAUAAUCUGAGCCUUCUCGGCGCCUCUCGUAGGCGUUUCGAAAAUGAAUCA
rnacentral:misc_RNA from 1 species